rnacentral:rRNA from 1 species
UACGGAGGGGGCUAGCGUUGUUCGGAAUUACUGGGCGUAAAGCGCGCGCAGGCGGUCUUCCAAGUCAGUGGUGAAAGCCCGGAGCUCAACUCCGGAACUGCCAUUGAAACUGUGAGACUUGAGGAUGAGAGAGGUGAGUGGAAUUCCCAGUGUAGAGGUGAAAUUCGUAGAUAUUGGGAAGAACACCGGUGGCGAAGGCGGUCUGCUGGGCCAAGACUGACGCUGAGGCGCGAAAGCGUGGGGAGCAAACAGG